rnacentral:ncRNA from 1 species
UACUGGGGGAGCCAUACGGCUGAGAAGGUAGAACCUGACCCUUUGAACUUGAACCGGUUAGUACCGGCGUAGGGAAGUAUU